ensembl:lncRNA
GCAAUUCCCGCAAACAUGACAGAAUAUGAUCAAAAACUGGUUUCUGAGACCAAGAUAUAAUGUUAAUAUGACCAAACACAUAACCUGAAUAUUCCAAAAAUCUUGUCGUAAUUGUUUAUGUCAUAAUUAUAAAUACUAGUGUUCAUGUAGAUCUACUAACUAACUUUUUUAUUCUGAUUUAUUCGUUCCUGUAGCAUAUAUGUGUAUGUGUGAGAAUCAUGGAGGUUUGUGUGAGAUACCUUGAAGAUGAAGAAGUGGUCGUUGUAACUGAGACCAAACACUAACUUAGACCCAACAUCUGCAAAUGACAUAAAAGUCUGUGGAGGAGAUUUUCAAUUGUUAACAACAGAAAAAAACAUUGAAGUAAUUGAUUGUAUCUUUGGUAAGUACAGAAGCAGCAUGAAUGUUACAGCAGGUACGUGCUACAGUAACAGGAAGAUCUCUAAAUUUACCAUAAAAAGUAGACUUUGAUACUUAACAAACAAAGAUAACAAGGGAACAAAAUAGAUAAUGAGAUAACGACAAAACAAAAAAUGACACAAAGAAACAUAUGAAUGAUACAAAUAGAAUGAUAAAACUGAUACAAAAGAAGCAAUUUCUGAAAAAAAGAACACUAACAAAAUAAGAAAGUACGGAAGAUAAACAUCCACUGAAAGUGAAACCAAAAAACAAAUCAAGAUUAGUGGGUGUCUACCUCUACUUUUUUUCCGAGCCAUUCAAUUCCAACGAAGCCAAAAAUGGUCCUGAGGAUCGGCAGACCAAAGACAAACUGUAGCCCAAUCCUGCACUGCAAGUUUGACCACACCACUGCAAAACAUGUGUCCAAUACAUGAACCAGCAGUGUGUCUGUAUGUGUGUGUGUGUGCGCGUGUGUGUGUGUGUGUGUGUGUGUGUGUGUGUGUGUGUGUGUGUGUGUGUGCAUCCUCUACCUAUUUGGAGAAUAUCUGCAUUAGGAAGAUGAAGAGCAGCAAACCAACAAAAGACAUGGACACCAGCAGUGACACGUACACUACGCGCUGUAGAGACAGAACCAGUAUCAGACAAGGGAGGGAGGCGAGGAACGCCAGCAACAUGAACAGAGACAGACUUACCAUCAGGAACGUGUGCGAUACGUUGGCAAGAGAAAGCCACGUGUGUUGCAAAGAAGUUACGGAUGAAUAUAAAACCUUUCUAGGUAACGUCAGUUUUGUGGCUAUAAAAAUCAGCGACUGAUGAGUUCAGCAUUUAUUUGUUUGUUGUAGAUCAAUUAGUGGGUUAAUUCUUCGUUUUUUUAGUCUAUAUUGUGCAAUGGCUUCACCUUUUUACUUAAAAGCACCCUUGAGCCAGUGCAUUUGCCUUGCUCUACUGUAGCACACAGCAGGUUUUCUCUCACACGUCACUUGCCGUCAACUGGUCUUGUUUUCUUUAUCCUGCCUUGUUUGUAUUCAGAGCUCAUUCGGAUUUUAAAAACAAGGAACUUCAGUGUCGGGAUGUUUCUGUUGCCAGGAGACGUGUCUGAACGGUCGUGCACAUUACAUACCGUAGUUACAGCUACUAAGAAGGAUUUUUUGUAUUAUGACAAUGGCUCGUUUGCAGCAUGAUUUAAAGACAGUGAGCCUCCAUCCAUGUUUUGAUCAGGAAGGGUAGGAAAACUGAAGCAAAACAUUUCUUACCAUCUGAUCAAGAACCAGUUUCGGUCUUUGAUAGGAGAGAGCUUCUUCCACACCCAGUCGCCAUAGUGUUUCGUCAUCCAAUACCAGGCCAGGAAGAUAACGGUUACCAAGGAGAUGACCAGCACCCCGAUUGAGGUUCAGGACACAUGCCGCUAUCACUAUGGCAACCAAGCCUGGGACAAAUUUAGUAUUAAUAUAAAUUAUAUCCCACAGAGCUUUCUUUAAUCAGAAUAAUUCAAAUCUUUUCAUUUAUUUGCUGCUUUAAUUUCUCCAGAAAAACAGUAGUGUACGAAAUAUGAGCCCUGAAACAAAGAAAUACAACCUUAAAAGACAAGUCUGCCAUAACAUGAUCUCUGAUGGCAAUGAUGGCACUUUUAAAAUGGAUACAUAUAAAACCUGAAGUCUGAAGGAUUACUAACACUGAAAAGGUAAUUUCACAUUUGAUUAUUCUUCAUUUCAGUUAUUUGUCCAUCUUUUUUUGUCAACAACACAGCAAUGUUCUUUAAUCUGUAAACCUGAACACACCUCACACACUAAUACUGAAUUGAAUCGAACCUAAUUAAAGGACCAGAGUGUAGCAUCUAUUGGAAAAAUAGAAUAAUAAUAGAAUAUAUAAUAUGUAAUAUUUAUAAGCAUGUUGUAUUCCAAAGUAUAACCAUCUGAAAAUAACAAUUGUUGAGCUCUUUGUUUCCUUAAAAUGGAGCAAUUAUAAUUCCAUAGUGAGGUGGUUAUUGUUUUUUAAAGAUUCAGGAGAGGAAAACCAUACACUUGUUCUUGCGUUUCAUCUGCAACCUCGCAGCCAAAUGCUGCCAAAUCUUGCACAUUGCAACUUUAAAAUAUCUAUGCAACUAUCUGCAGAAAGUUGAAAACAUUAUGGUUGAGAAUGGUGUAAUUCCAUAAGUCAUCUCAAAAGUACAGCAUUAACGGUUGAGGAAUCCAAAACAAUAUUUUCAUUUAGACAAUUAACAAAAAAACACACAUUCUCAAGGGGAAAUAUUUGAGUUUCAAUAGGAAGUAUUUUGUGAAGUCAAAUUCCCUAAUAGGGGGUAACUGUAAAAACACACAUUUUACUUUUGGGGAAAUCACCACUACUUACUUCCAUUUACUUAACCGUGACCAUCAAUUUAGGUGCACAAGCCAUCCCAAAUUAACUGGUUUAAGGUCUGAAUUAUGUCCGCAAACGUAGCCCAAGUCAGAGACUCACACAUACACACACACACACUCACUCACGAGCCCGUUCAUGUCCCAAUGCUCCGAGGUGUGGCUCAUUUAGGUCCAUUCUGACCUGUGCAAGUAGUUUGCAAAGUUAAACAGCCCAUUACAAGCCUCCAAACAGACUGAAACUCAUAAUCAAAAUUCCAACCAAGAUGUUAACUUAGUUGCUGAUUAUAAAAUAAUAAACACAAUAAUGCAAGACUUUGUGCUUUAAAUACAAGAAGAAACACUUUGGUGCUCAUGCUUAUGUGAACAAACAAAGGAGUAUGUGGGACCGACAGAAAUAUGCUUUACCUUCUGCUAAAACCAGUCUGUGCUAGAGAGCCUCGGAGUGUGUCCAUCUUCUUCUCCAGCAGGCAAUGCACACAAAAGGAAGGAAGAUAAAGAGAGAGGAGACAUGUUAAAACACAGGGACAAGAGUCAGAAUUUUCCUUCUAAACAGUAAAGCUCCAAAAAAUUGGUCUGGCUUACCUCUGACUCAAAGGCCUUGUUGUCUUUCCCCCUUUUUUUGAUCAUUCCUCUCCAUUCCAUCCAGUGCACAGGCACUUAUUUUCACACACUGGCCAGACCUAAUGGGGGCGUUUUAAAAGCAUACCUGUCCUAUCCCACGCUCAUCCUCCCUUCUCCUCCAACCCUGUAUUUCUCAACCCGAAUCUAUUUUACUCAUUAUGUUACUUUGUGGAUUUAGCAGACGGU